GCUACCUGGACCAAUACUGACACUGAGGUGCGAAAGCGUGGGGAGCAAACAUUGAUUAGAUACCCUGGUAGUCCACGCCGUAAACGAUGUCUACUAGCCGUUGGGACUCUUGAAGUCUUAGUGGCGCAGCUAACGCACUAAGUAGACCGCCUGGGGAGUACGGCCGCAAGGUUAAAACUCAAAUGAAUUGACGGGGGCCCGCACAAGCGGUGGAGCAUGUGGUUUAAUUCGACGCAACGCGAAGAACCUUACCUGGCCUUGACAUGCAGAGAACUUUCCAGAGAUGGAUUGGUGCCUUCGGGAACUCUGACACAGGUGCUGCAUGGCCGUCGUCAGCUCGUGUCGUGAGAUGUUGGGUUAAGUCCCGUAACGAGCGCAACCCCUAUCCCUAGUUGCUAGCAGUUCGGCUGAGAACUCUAGGGAGACUGCCGGUGACAAACCGGAGGAAGGUGGGGAUGACGUCAGGUCAUCAUGGCCCUUACGGCCAGGGCUACACACGUGCUACAAUGGUGCGCACAGAGGGCUGCAAACCCGCGAGGGGGAGCCAAUCUCACAAAACGCAUCGUAGUCCGGAUCGCAGUCUGCAACUCGACUGCGUGAAGUCGGAAUCGCUAGUAAUCGUGAAUCAGAAUGUCACGGUGAAUACGUUCCCGGGCCUUGUACACACCGCCCGUCACACCAUGGGAGUGGAUUGCACCAGAAGUGGUUAGUCUAACCUUCGGGAGGACGAUCACCACGGUGUGGUUUCAUGACUGGGGUGAAGUCGUAACAAGGUA
rnacentral:rRNA from 1 species